GACAUGAUUGAGCAACUGACACUUUCACUUCAGUUUGAGAACUGCUCUUUUAGAGACUAGUGUGGAAGAGGGAGCAGCCCAGUGUUACCAAACCACGUGCGUUUGCCAACAUGCAGCAAACCAAACGCUGAGAUCCUGAGGCUUAGAAAGAGUUUACUCAUAUGGCAGCCAGUCAAGGAUAUGGGAGUACAAUUAUCAAAUCUGCUUCCCUGAAGUUAGGGUGGUUGGGUUAUGUAUGGGGUAAGCAAGAUGGUCUUAGGCUUGGGGAAAGGUUCUUGGAGGCAGGGAAGAGGUGAAGUAAUUGAUAUUUUGAGAAGGUGCUUCUGGAUGACAAGUUUCUGUAUAUUCACAAUGGAGGUGAACUGAGGGCAGAGUUUUCCAGUCCUCUGACAUCAACAGGCCAUUCAUCAGACAUCUGUGAGGCCCAGGUUUAGUGUUGGUGGUCCCAACUGGCUGUAGCUGGCUCACACUGGGCAGAAGUGAAAGUGUGAAAGUAGCCCACCAGGCUCCUCUGUCCAUGGAAUUCCAGGCAAGAAUACUGGAUUGUGUUGCCAUUUUCUUCUCCAGAGGAUCUUCCUGACUUAGGGGUUGAAUCUGGGUCUCCUGCAUUGCAGGUAGAUUCUUUACUGUCUGAGCCAUCAGAGAAGCCCCCACACUGGACAGAAGCUGACUCCAAGUUCCUGUAAAACAACUGGUCUGCGUGAAACUGGGAAGGCAAUUUACAAGCAAGGGAGUUUUAACAAGCUGUUCCCUUAUCUGCUCACCUUUUACAGGAACAUUGUGACAUGACCUACAUGGAGAGCUUCAAGAACAAAGGAUUCUGGCCCAAGGAGUGUGCACAGCCAAAUACACCCCUUCUCUAUUAAGUAUAAAAGAAGUCUGAAUUCUACUUUGAUAAGAUGAUUCUCUAGGACACAGUCCACCAUCUUCUCAGACUCCUGGCUUUCUGAAUAAAGUUGUUAUUCCUUGCCCCAACACCUCAUCUCCUGAUUGUGCAUUGACCAGAAUGAGUCUGGACUCAGUAGCAAUCCCUCUCCUGCAGACAAGGAGCUUGUGGUGUCAAGGAGUAUGAUGUGAUUAUUUUUUCAGACUCCUCUUUGUGAUGAUGAGAAAAAGCAGAUUCUAUGCCUCUGAAUUCUAAUUCUUGAUAUCUGUGUUUUUCCAGUAAAUCCAGCUCAUUAUAUUUUUACACAUGACACUAGAAUUUGUCCUCACCCACCUUUAAUUAUAAUAAAAAUUCCUAUUUCAUAGAAGGAAAUGAAUGCAGUGAAGUUUCUGUACUGUUAUACGUAUGACAUUUGCUAGAUAGAUAUCUAAAGGGUCUCCCUGCUCUGCUAGCAGACUGAUUUCCUCCAGGUGACAGACUAAUUUUUUUUUUUUUUACAGGUUCUCCUUGCCAGGAGUAUCUCCCUGGUCCACCAUCAUCAAUGACUAUCCUUGAGUCUGGUAUAGAUGAGUAUUCCCCUUCUGAAGUAUAAAGACUCCUUUGGGUCUUUUAUAUUGUAUCUUCUGGCAUACAGUCCUCUUCUGAUCACAGAACCUGACCUCUCUAAAGGAAAUGAAUGUAUUUUGAUUAUAACUGCACACCUUGCAACCAAGCAGGACUCUAUGGGGUUUUCUGAGACAGACAUCCCCCACCUCCAUGUCCUCUACCUGCCUCUUGUUUGUAGAAAGCUUUAGUCUCCCAGGCCUCCCCUGAGUCACAAAAGGCUGGCUCAAGAAUGAACAAUUGAAAGAAUGUGAAUGUGUAAUAACAAAGAAAACAGCAGUUGGGCCAGGAGAUUCAGUAACCAUUUAAACAGUAAAUCAGCCACAUGGCAGUCACAGAAUCUUUAAUUCCUCAGAGAAGGACAUAGAUAAUGGUGUUUGAUGCACAUCCCUGAAUUGUUCUGCAGGUACUAAAACGUCCACCAGAUGGAAGCAGGUAACUUCAUGAUGACCAUGAGCAUGUAAACCCUAGACUGGCUAGAGUCUAAGGAUUGAUGAUGUUAACCCCUGUGAAAGCAGCUUGUUACCUCACCCUCAACCAAUCAGAGAAUUGUGCACAAGCUGAUCAUGCACCUUGCAACUGUCUCUGUCAGCUUGCCUUUAAAAACAUUUUCCUGAAAUCCAUCAAGGAGUUAAGGGUCUUUUAAAUAUUUGCCACCUGUACUCCUUGCUUGGUUCCUGCAAUAAAGGUUGUGGUUUGCUUCACCACAACCUGCGAUCAGUAGAUUGACUUUAUUGUGUAUGAGAGAGUGUCCCCAAGUUUGGCUUGGUAACAAUCUUAGCCUACCAUACCCCUAUUCCUUUCUUCUCCCAGCUAUAGAGAUGGGCAUAUGCCCCCAAACCAGGGCUGUCAAGACUCCUUCUCAGAACCUCUUCAGGGGAUUUGCAGAUGUUCUCAUACAAUAGGAGCUGUAGGACUGGUACUUUGCCAGUCUUGGGGUGCUGGGGAUGCUCAUGCCUGCUCCAUGAGGAGAGUUUGAGGGACACAGUAUUUGUGCACUUCAUGUAGCUGUGCCUCAGGGCAGUAUAACUUCUGGACUUCUUAGCUGAAGUGACCCCCAAAUACCUUUUUAUUGCUUAAGUGAAAUUCUGUCAGGUGUAGUCAAUAGUCUGCCUAAUUUCAUUAGGGCUUUACUGCUUUAGCUGAAUACUUUCCUGGCAAGUUUAUAAAGACUGGGAAUUGCUUUAGGAGUUGAGCCAUCACAGGGCCUUCUUGGUCAAGUUUGUGUUUUCCCUGGCAAUUAAAUUCCUUUAACAUCCAGCAAGUGCCAGAAAUCUUACUGAGUCACGAUUCCAGAAUCCAGAUUCUGCCUUGGAUGUGUCAGUCUCUUGGCAACAGCAGUUGUCUCUCCCUGAAGCGCUAGGUCACAGUUGAAUACUUCUGUUUUUGCUGCUACCUGUGAAACAAUAGCUGUACAAUGGACAAACUGCCUUGGUACCUUAGACAGCCCUCGAGCAGACCAGUCCCAGCACUUGAACAGAGCAUUCCUCUUCAGGGGACGAAAACCAUAGUCCAGAUCAAGAAGCAUAAACGAGGAAAUUGGAAAUCCCACAUUGUUCUAUUUCCGAGUGAAAAGCUUUGACUCACCACUAGAGGGCACUAUUCACCCUCUCAUCUUUCUGAAGGCUUCAGCCCAGCAUGGCUCGUUUUCAAAUGAAAAUAACUGCAUUUACUAAGGCAUACGUCAGAGAUAUUGCGGAUUCACUUCAAGAUGGCUGCAAUAAAGUGAAUAUCACAAAAAAGGUGAAUUACUCAACUUUCUCUUCCACACUGGUGGCCAUGUAUCUGUGGAUGUAAUGAAGAGCACUUUCUCCCCAAGAUGAAGGAUGGAAGAAAAUGUUAAAUAGCUUCAGAUCUAGGAUGAUCUUCUGCAUGAAUUUCAGUUAAAAAUUUCAGGGUCAUCUGCAAUAAAAUUUACUUAAAUCAA